rnacentral:tRNA from 1 species
AGCGGAAUGGUGAAAGGGUAUCACACCGGCCUCUGACUCCGAUAUUCUUGGUUCGAAUCCAGGUUCCGCUGCCA